rnacentral:rRNA from 1 species
AAAGCUACCCCGGGGAUAACAGGCUUAUCUCCCCCAAGAGUCCACAUCGACGGGGAGGUUUGGCACCUCGAUGUCGGCUCAUCGCAUCCUGGGGCUGUAGUCGGUCCCAAGGGUUGGGCUGUUCGCCCAUUAAAGCGGUACGCGAGCUGGGUUCAGAACGUCGUGAGACAGUUCGGUCCCUAUCCGUCGUGGGCGCAGGAAAUUUGAGAGGAGCUGUCCUUAGUACGAGAGGACCGGGAUGGACGCACCGCUGGUGUACCAGUUGUCUUGCCAAAGGCAUAGCUGGGUAGCUAUGUGCGGAAGGGAUAAGUGCUGAAAGCAUCUAAGCAUGAAGCCCCCCUCAAGAUGAGAUUUCCCUGUUACUUUGUAACGUAAGAUCCCUGAAAGAUGAUCAGGUUGAUAGGUCAGAGGUGGAAGCGCGGUGACGUGUGGAGCUGACUGAUACUAAUCGAUCGAGGACUUAACCUAA